rnacentral:rRNA from 1 species
AGAGCGAACGCUGGCGGCAGGCUUAACACAUGCAAGUCGAGCGGGCGUAGCAAUACGUCAGCGGCAGACGGGUGAGUAACGCGUGGGAACAUACCUUUUGGUUCGGAACAACACAGGGAAACUUGUGCUAAUACCGGAUAAGCCCUUACGGGGAAAGAUUUAUCGCCGAAAGAUUGGCCCGCGUCUGAUUAGCUAGUUGGUGAGGUAACGGCUCACCAAGGCGACGAUCAGUAGCUGGUCUGAGAGGAUGAUCAGCCACAUUGGGACUGAGACACGGCCCAAACUCCUACGGGAGGCAGCAGUGGGGAAUAUUGGACAAUGGGCGCAAGCCUGAUCCAGCCAUGCCGCGUGAGUGAUGAAGGCCCGUAGGGUUGUAAAGCUUCUUUUGUGCGGGAAGAUAAUGACGGUACCGCGAAGAAUAACGCCCCGGCUAACUUCGCGCCAGCAGCCGC